AGGUGUGGGGGUGCAAUAGAAAAAUAAGCACCCUUGUGCAAGAUUGUGCAAGAGGAAACAUCUGUUGACUCUGCUGACUUGUUCCCCCCACACGCCUGGGUCACUGUCGCUGCCUAACCGCAAAGCUUAUGCGGCUGUCAUGCUGUCUGGAGUUAUGUCCUGGUAGAGAAUAGUUAUUCUAAGAAAUGCAAACCCUAGCUGUUUUCCACCCGAGUGCUACACGUGUAUAUGCAACAUGAUGUAAUGUGCGCAAGGCUAAUAAACAUGCAAGGCUGCUGGGGGACAGAGCUCACUCCUUGCUUAAACCUUCACCCAUGACUCUUCGUUAUUUUCCUCCGCACCUGGUGGGCUGGUUCCCCGACAAAUGGUGCCUCGUGUGAUUGCCUGAACGGCUUCCAGGACGCGUGCUGUCAAAGACGGUCCUCCCUGCUACUCACCCGCCAGGCUGUGGCUCAAGGCGCCUUAUCAUCUUCGGAUCCCCGGUGAGUAGCUAUUUUUCUAUUUUUAUCAUGGGUUCUACGCUCUCCAACCCUCAGAAACAAUUUUUAAAAGACAUGCAGCACCUCCUUCGGGAAAAUAAACAGCAAGUACCUGAAGGUGAUCUAAUUGCAUUGAUUCUGGCCAUAGAUGAACAUUGUCCAUGGUUCCCUGAGGACGGCACAUGGGAAAUACCAGACUGGGAUAAAAUUGGCGACCACUUUCAUGGCCAUGGCCGCAUAAAUCUUCACGUCCUCAGUGCCUGGGCUACAGUCCGUGGCUGCAUGGCAACUCUUACGCCCAAAAACAUCCUCUUGGCUUCGUUGCAACCACAACAAAAAACAGUCCUGAAUAUGCCUUUCAUAUAUCCGGCUGCACCGCUUCAACCACCACCUUUUACUCCGCCACGACCACCAGAUUAUCAGCCUCCGCCGACGCCACUGGGGACUGCAAUUAAACAAGCAGCCCCCCUCUUAGGUCUUUCAUCUGGCACGCCAGUGGCUAAAGUCAUACUGCUCCCUGCGGAUGCCACAACUCCUACAAAUCCCCCCUUAAUUGCUGCUGCAAUGCCUCUCACAGCUCAGCGCCCUACAUUAAAAAUGACACUGGGUGGACGUGAGGUAGAGGGGGUUCUGGAUACAGGGGCAGAUGUUACUGUGAUUGCUAAACAAGACUGGCCUCCCGAAUGGCCCACGAAGGCAGCUGCCCAAGUUUUGGGUGUCGGGGGAGAAGUGCCAGCCUGUCAAAGCCUCCACCCAAUUGAUAUCCUUGUGGCUGCGAAGCACAUAUCAAUGGAAUUAUUAAGAGACCUUACAUCUGCCCUGACAGAUUUUGGACUGUGUAUUGCCCCAGAUAAGGUUCAGCAAACUUUGCCUAUGUUGUAUCUUGGACAUAAAUUGACACAACAAGCUGCUAUUCCGGUUGUUCCCCAAUUGUCUUUUCCUGCCCGCCUAUGGCUGGUUGACCUUCAACAACUUUUGGGACACCUGAAUUGGAUUAAGAAUUACCUUAAUCUGCCUACUAGCACCUUGUCACCAUUGUUUUCUGCCUUACAAGGACACAAACUACCCGGAGAAGUCAUCCCAG